UUCACAGCAUACAGAAGGGCAUCCCCCAUCAGCAGUGAGUUUGGAGCCAACUUCCCUUAAAAGCUUGACAGCUGAUAUGUGUCCCCCCUUUGUGUGUGUGUGAUUACUACAUCUUUCACAACUGAAAUUCAUGACACUAAAAUCUAACAGCUGAUCAUUUUCUAACUUAUAAGUCACAUUUAGUGGUGUACUUAAACCAUUUGACUGAAACAAAAUUCAUGUGAAGAAAUAGAUUUAGCUGCAUUUAAAUUCAUAUAUAAUAAGCUAUAUGAUUCCUAUGUGUUAUAGGUUAAACUUUUCCUUAAAAAUACAUUCUGUGACAACCUACAUUUAUGUUAUAGCCCACGUAUUUAUUGGUAGACAUGUUUGCUUGUUGAAUUAGCUUUAUUUCCCUGUACUAUUGGGAUAUUUUUACAUACAAAAUUUUGUUCAAGCUGUUCAGUUUCUAUGGCAGUAAGAGAAAAAUGAAGUCUGUUUUCUCUGUGAAAAAGGCAGGCCUGGCCCAUUUCUCUGCCUAUGAGAAUGUACAGCAGGUUGGUUCAGCUCGGAAGCCUUUUAUAGCCUGGAGGUCUCAGUUGCACUGGGCUCGUUUGUUGAAAUAAAGUGCAGAACAAGAGCUGCCAUCCGUUUCAGAGAGAGAGAGAGACACUGCGGGCAAGCCUCUAGAUGGACUGCAAAGUCAGUACCUAUGACCAGCAGGGUACGGAUUCCAGCUCCACAGUGUGCCGUAAGAGUGGUCAGCGGUGAGAGGGAAGGACUCCCCAGCAGCCCCUGAAUCCAUGCCUGCCUCGACCUUCAAGUGACAGGAAGACCUGACAGGAUGAAGGACUCCACCUGUCCUUUUCUGCUUCUGGCCUGAGAACCCUGUCCACUGACCACCCUGACGAGGAAAGGCAAAGCAAAAGAUGACUGCAGAGAAUGGCGGUGUCUGAGGUGUCGGAGGGACAUCGUGAAGGCAGGUAGCCUGAAGAGGAACCGAGAGGAUCAAGAGGAAGUCUCAGAUAUCGAUAGUCAGCAGAAUCCAAUGUUCAGAGCCAAGGACAUGGGCCGUAGACUCAACCACAACACACAAGGAAGGAAUUGUGAAAAUGGCAGGAUAAUGACGAUGGGGCUGUGUAGCCACUGAGUGCCUGAACAGGCCUCUAAGCACCUCUACCACAGAUGUGACUGGAUUGACAGGACUCAAGUGAUGAAAUGGCAUUCUACUGUGUGUCACUCAGCUCAGCUGCUGGAAGACACAAUUGUCACUUCAGGGAGGCUUCAGGCUCAACAAUUUAGAGCCCUGUUUUUAAAAUUCAAACUUAGGUUGGCUCCAGCAUGACAGAAAGAGAGAAAGGGGGAGGGAAAGAAAAGGAAAGGGAGAAGGUGGACAGAAAUGAAAUAUGAGAAAUGCUUUUUGUGUCAAAGGUAGCCAAGCCCGCCAUAAAUCUCCCCACCAUGUAAAACUUUGUUUAUGAACGGGCCUCGCUGUUUCUGGAAUGUGAUGGCCUGUCCAUCACUCCAGACCCUUUUUUAAAAUUAUUGAUACAUAUAUGUGUGUGAAUAAAUAUAUAAAUACAA